rnacentral:lncRNA from 10 species
CUGAAACCAAACAUGAUGGGUAAAGCAGUAAGUAAAAGCCAUAAGGAAACAGAAGGCAAGAGGCUGAGAGAAAUAGAGAGGAAGUUAUCCGGCAAGGCCAGAGGGAUAGAAUCACCACGAUGGGGCAGGGAAUAGGAGGCAAAGAUACACCUGCCUGUGGGAGGCGAGGGAUGAGAUAACCCAGUCUCCAGAGUUAUGACCUUCCAAUUACUGACAUUCCAAUGGCUCUGUACAGCAAUUACGAUACUCUUGUCUCCCUAAUUUGCAUCCUUAAAGUGAUCACCCAUUUUAGAAGUUAGGUAACCUGAGCAUGUCUGAGCAAGGCUUUAUAAAAUUAACAGCAGAACCUGGAAAAGUCUAUCCUGUACACCCCGUUGCUGCUAUCAUUUAGAAAAUCUGUUAUCUAACUCUAGGUUUAAAAACAGUAAGUGCCUGUCUAAGAAACAGAAACUUUAAGCUGGUCCGAAUGCAGUGGUAUUUACAACUAAUUGAUCACAACCGGUUACAGAUUUCUUUGUUCCUUCUCCACUCCCACUGCUUAACUUGACCAGCCUUAAAAAAAUAAAUUAAAAACAGGAGGCCAGGCACAGUGGUUCACGCCUAUAAUCCCAGCACUUUGCGAGGCCGAGGCUUGAGGACUGUUUGAGCCCAGCGGUUCAGGACCAGCCUGGGCAACACAAUGAGACCUCACAUAUACAGAAAAUAAAAAAUAGCCGGGCGUGGUGGUGCUUGCCGGUAGUUCUAGGCUUGGGAGGCUCAGGCUGAAAUUUGAGGUUACAGUGAGCUAUGAUAGCACCACUGCACUCCAGCCUGGGUGACAGAGUAAAACCCUGUCUCAAAAGAAAGAGGAAAAUUUUGAUGUUUGCAUAGGAAGACUCACUGAUUCCAUAUAGAACCACUAAUGCUAAUUACCAUAAGCAAAGAUUAAGUGCAGUCCGGGCAUGGUGGCUCACACCUAUCAUCACUUUGGGAGGCCGAGGUGGGAGGAUGGCUUGAGCCCAGGAGUUUGAGACCAGCCUGGGCAACAUAGUGAGACCCCAUUUCUAUUUUUAAAAAAAAAUACACACACACACACACACACACACACACACACACACGGGAAAAAAGAGUAAGUGCAGAGGAAAGCUUUCAAGCAACAGCAAAAUUCACCACUGCCUGUUUGCACCAUCUUCAAGUAGGUCCUAUUCAAUUGUCUGGUUACUGAAAGUCUCCUGACCCCUCUACACUCCCAUAUCAGGAUCCCAUAUCACUCCCUAAGCAGAAUCGUUGUAGAAUGUCCUUUGGCAAACAGCUCCAUUUAAAAUUAAACUAAAAGGUCUUAUUAUUCCAGUAAUGCAUUUUAAACUUACUAUUCUUGCUGCUUUAGAAGAGAAAACGUUAGCAAAAACUAGAUUGUCAACAGUAGAAAUUAAGGUACUAAAGGAAAACAGCUUGUAAAAGUUUUAUGGCAUACUCAUGAAUACCACCAAAUUCGCCCCUUCCUCGAACUAGGGUCAUUUUAAAGUAAAAACAAAAACCUAAGGCUUUGAGCCAAAAAUUAUGCCACUACAAACCACAGUUUUAAGACAAAGUUGCCAACCAUGCAGGUAUCGUUCAAUGCAGAAGUCACAAUGCAGAAGAUAACCUUUGUACUCAAAUUUUAUGAAUUCAUUAAGGUUUUCCCUUUUCCCCUCAUCGCCUUCACAUGGGAAGUGGGAUGUAAAAGUUAAAAUGCCUAACUAUGCAAUUCCUUCUGCAAUUUGUUGAACAGCUUCUAGAGAAAACCAAGAUAAUGUGGUAAAUAAACUUCACAGCAUCUUGUCCUCAUGCACUCAACACGUGCCCAAGACUUACUUGCUGAUGAUGAAAUGUGCUGUUGGUGCCAACAGUUUUAAGCCACUGGCAAGGAAAACAUUCUAAGAAACCCUGGGCCAGUUAUAAUCUGCCUUCCCUAUUAUCACGCCAAUUCUAUGCAAUCAUCAUAUGCAAAACUGGGCAUUCAUCAUCACUGCACGGAAUCCAAACGCGAUUCUCGGGGGUGCCCACGCUCGGCCUCCCACCCGGGUCCGACUCCUUGGAAGGGGCCUGGCCUAGCGCGCACCUGCACACGUGCGCCGGGAGGCGGGAGGUCGUCCCGCGGCCCAGCUGGUUUGUUUUCAACAAUACGGUCAAAGCCACACGCCCACCGUUAUUUACGCCGCCAGCCAGCGCCGGCACUUCGGAGGGAGGAAGGAAGCACCUAAGGCGCUGGGGGCGGAAACGCUGAGGAGGAGGGGUGCGCCUCAGGCGAGAGCUGGCCGGCGCCGACCCGGCCUGGGGCAGCGGCCGCAGCUCCCCGCCCGGGACCGCGCAAAAAGGCCCAAGGUCCCGGGCCGCACUCACCGAAGUCCAGGAACUGCUUCAUGGAGAGCGGGGACGGCGAGAAGCGCGCGUAGAAGUCCACCUGGCCCGGAACGCCGCGCUCGGACGCCGGGCUGGAGCCCGAGUCCGAGCUGAAGCUGCGGCUGAAGCCGGCGGCGCGCAGCCCCGGGCCCGGGCCGGCCAAGGCGGCUCCGCGAAGCAGCCGCGCCAGCCUCAUGCCGAGUCCCGCUAGAGAAGCCACAGCCAGUACGCCAGGUUUCCCCGCGCCUCUGCCGAGUGGGUUGAAGGCAAAUACUUGAAGUUGCAAUCGAAGGUCAAGAAAAUGGAAUCAAGAGGUCACAAUCCUUCUCUGAUGAUGGCUUAGAAAGCUGGAAGACACUCAACAUUGAAUCCUGGGGCUCUGUGCCAUGCUUGCUAGGAGAAACAGCCACCAUGAGUCCAUCUUUCAGAUCUCAAGUGAACAGUCAUUCUCCAGCUGGGAUUGAGAACAAGGGGAAGCUGGCCAUAGAGCCAGGUGACCAAAGAUGGAAGACAAAGGGUGGGCUGUGAUUCCCAGAGCUCCAAGCCUUGUUCUGUCUUGUCACACCAACUGUUACUGAUGAACAGCUUGCAGUGCCAGUACCUUAAGACAGUUUUCUCCGUAAUGGGGCUAUGAGGGAAAUGAGCACCAAAGCACAUGACUUCAGGACAUGAGUGUGGGGUACAGGGAAAAGAGACAUGUUCUGAACCUGAAUGAAGCUGGGGAACCUCUCACCUGAGUGCCUGCAUUUGGCAGCCUGAUAUUUUCGGCAGCAGCAGUCACAUCAAUGAAGGCUCGCAUGAGAAUGUCCAAGUAGUUCAGUUUGGAAUAUUCCUGUUUGGAGACAGUGAAUGCAUUAGGGAAGUGAAAAGUGUCCUAGGCAAAGGCAAAUUACUUCCAUGGGACAGCCUCAAGCCAAGGUCAUACCUCUAGAAAUGUGCUGUUCCAUAACCUCGAGCGCAAAAUAAGAGACGCCUUGCUGUCCAGCCCCCGCAGCGGGCAUCUGAUGUUCACACAGUUCACGUUCACGCUACAGUUCUAGAGAGAAAAAGAAGAAUGGUCAUCAAAAGACAUUGUUCUGAAGAAAUCCUUCCCCUCAUCCUCUCAAAUAUUCACAGCUCUUGAAAAAUACUUACAAGAGUCUGGUAUUUUCUUUCAGCAAAUAAAGAAAAUUUUCUGUUAUCAUCUAUC